GAGGGCAUAGCCCAGUGGUAGAGCACGUGCUUAGCAUGCAUGAGGCCCUGGGUUCCUUCCCCAGUACAUCCA
rnacentral:tRNA from 1 species